AAAGCAGUAGUUGAAUAGGAAAAACACCAUCGUGAGCGAUUUUAAUACUACCGCCAGGUCAAUUAAAAUGUUCUCAUAGGCGGCAACGUUGGUUCGAGUCCAACCUGCUUUA
rnacentral:tRNA from 1 species